rfam:Triticum aestivum genome assembly, contig: Triticum_aestivum_CS42_TGACv1_scaffold_093245_2AL
AAAAUACUCCCUCCGUCCAGAAAUACUUGUCGAACAGAUGGAUGUAUCUAGAUGCAUCCAUUUUCAUCCAUUUCUACGACAAGUAUUUCCGGACGGAGGGAGUAGGGA